rnacentral:sRNA from 1 species
GCUGGUUGUGGUGGUGCAUGCCUGUGAUCCUAGCCACUUGGGAGGCCGAGACAGGAGGAUUGCAGGUUCAAGGCCACACUGGGCAAUUAGCAAGAUCCUGUUUCAA